rnacentral:rRNA from 1 species
AAUUAGAAAAUUGCCUGUGAUUUGAUUAGGAAUUUAGAUUAUGUAAUCAGAGUGAGAUUUUGGGGGGCGAUAGGGUACAGUACUGUGAAGGAAUUUUUAAUAUAUUAAUAAUUAAUUUUUUAGAAGUAAAGUGGGUUGUACCUUUUGUAUUAGGGUUUAGCUAGAAUAUUGAUAGAUUUUUUAAUUCCCGAAUGGUCUCGAGCUAUUGGGGGGGAUUUUGGUCGUUUUAGAGAUUGAGCAGACUUUUUUAUAGAAAUGAAAUUUUAUUCGAGAGACUUGAUAUCUGGUUGGGAUUGAAAAUUAUAUAUUUUGUUAUGGAGGUUGUAAUUAGGUAGGUCCAUGUUUUUGAUUUUUCGGGAUAAGCUGGGAGAUUUUUUAUAUAUGUAAAUUGUGGUAUAAGGGGGGCUUAGAAUUUGCUUUUGUUUUGUAAUAAAAAAUUUUUUUGUUAGGUUUAUUUAAAUUUUUUUAUUUUUUAAUUAAUUAUUUUUAAUUGGAUUAAUGUUAGGAUUAGUAUAAUUUUGUUGGAAUUUUUAUGUUAAGUUUUUGUUUUUUAGGUAAAAAGUGAGGAAGAAUUCGGCAAAAUGUGUUUCUGAAUGUUUAUCAAAAACAUUGUAUUUUGUAGUAAUGAAAUAUAAAACCUGCUCAAUGAGAGAAGUUUAAUUGCUGUGGUAUUGUGACUAUACGAAGGUAUUGAAAUAAGGCUUUAAUUGGGUGCUAAGAGAAUGGUUUAACAGAGAUGGGCUUUUUUCUUAUUUAAAUUGGAAUUUGAUUUAAAAAUGAAGAAGUUUUUAUGAAAUUUUGGGACAAGAAGACCCUAUGAAUUUUUUAAAAAAAUUAUUUUUAGUUUUUGUUUGGAAGAAGAUGCGGAUAUUUUUUUGUUAAUUGGGGUGAUUUUUAAAUUUUGGUUAACUUUAAAAGUGUGUUAUUGGAUCCAGUAAUAGUGAUAGAUUGAAUAAAAUACUCUAGGGAUAACAGCGUUAUUACUUUGGAUAGUUCAUAUAGAUAAAGUAGAUUGCGACCUCGAUGUUGGAUUAGGAUACCUUUAUUGAUGAAGAAGUCGUGAAAGGGGGUUUGCUCAACUUUUAAAUUCCUACAUGAUCUGAGUUCAGACCGGCGUGAGCCAGGUUGGUUUCUAUCUAAAUUAGUAUGUUUGUCUUAUUAGUACGAAAGGAAUUUAAGACUUAAAUUGUUUUGGAGAGUUUUUAAAAGUGAUGUUAAUU